AUUGAACGCUGGCGGCAUGCCUUACACAUGCAAGUCGAACGGCAGCACGGGUGCUUGCACCUGGUGGCGAGUGGCGAACGGGUGAGUAAUACAUCGGAACAUGUCCUGUAGUGGGGGAUAGCCCGGCGAAAGCCGGAUUAAUACCGCAUACGAUCUACGGAUGACAGCGGGGGACCUUCGGGCCUCGCGCUAUAGGGUUGGCCGAUGGCUGAUUAGCUAGUUGGUGGGGUAAAGGCCUACCAAGGCGACGAUCAGUAGCUGGUCUGAGAGGACGACCAGCCACACUGGAACUGAGACACGGCCCAGACUCCUACGGGAGGCAGCAGUGGGGAAUUUUGGACAAUGGGCGAAAGCCUGAUCCAGCAAUGCCGCGUGUGUGAAGAAGGCCUUCGGGUUGUAAAGCACUUUUGUCCGGAAAGAAAUCCUUGGCCCUAAUACGGUCGGGGGAUGACGGUACCGGAAGAAUAAGCACCGGCUAACUACGUG
rnacentral:rRNA from 1 species